rnacentral:rRNA from 1 species
UGCCUUAAAACUUAAUACAACUUUCAACAACGGAUCUCUUGGCUCUCGCAUCGAUGAAGAACGCAGCGAAAUGCGAUAAGUAAUGUGAAUUGCAGAAUUCAGUGAAUCAUCGAAUCUUUGAACGCACCUUGCGCUCCUUGGUAUUCCGAGGAGCAUGCCUGUUUGAGUGUCAUUAAAUUCUCAA